rnacentral:rRNA from 1 species
AGCUAGGUCUAACAUUGUUAGGUCGUCAGCUUCUUAGAGGGACUAUCGGUGUUUAACCGAUGGAAGUUUGAGGCAAUAACAGGUCUGUGAUGCCCUUAGAUGUUCUGGGCCGCACGCGCGCUACACUGAUGAAGUCAACGAGUAAAUUUCCUUUGUCGAAAGAUAUGGGUAAUCUUCUGAAACUUCAUCGUGAUGGGGAUAGAGCAUUGCAAUUAUUGCUCUUCAACGAGGAAUCCCUAGUAAGCACAAGUCAUCAGCUUGUGUUGAUUACGUCCCUGCCCUUUGUACACACCGCCCGUCGCUACUACCGAUUGAAUGGCUUAGUGAGACCUUCGGAUCGGCAUUCAGAAGUUGGAAACAACAUUUGUUUGCUGAAAAGUUGUUCAAACUUGGUCAUUUAGAGGAAGUAAAAGUCGUAACAAGGUUUCCGUAGGUGAACCUGCGGAAGGAUCAUUAAUGAUUUUUUAAAGCAAACCAAAGCGAAAGCGAAGGUUUUGCGAAUAUAUUUAAAACCCCACUCUUAAAAAAAAUUUUUUCAUUCAUAAAUAUGAAUAAAAAAGAUCACUUUCAACAACGGAUCUCUUGGCUCUCGCAUCGAUGAAGAACGCAGCGAAAUGCGAUAAGUAGUGUGAAUUGCAGAAUUACGUGAAUCAUCGAAUCUUUGAACGCAAAUUGCACUCUCUGGUAUUCCGGGGAGUAUGCCUGUUUGAGGGUCAUAGUAAACCCAUCGAUUUUCAUUGCUUUUUUUUUAAGGUGAUGUUUUAUCGGAUUUGAGCGGUCUUUUUUUUUUUUAAAUAUUAAAGUGGCUUAAAAUUGAUUUUAUCUGGUAUGAUUAAGCGUAUUUUAUGAUCAAUUUUUGAUUUAAGAAACGCGUACGUACCAUCACAUGAUGUAAUACGUUUGACUAUUUGAUUUAGUUCAUUCGUAUACGAUCUUUUUCAAUGUUUGACCUCAAAUCAGGUAAGAAUACCCGCUGAACUUAAGCAUAUCAA